CGGGGUGGAGUAAUGUCUGGGAAACUGCCUGAUGGAGGGGGAUAACUACUGGAAACGGUAGCUAAUACCGCAUAACGUCGCAAGACCAAAGAGGGGGACCGUUCGGGCCUCUUGCCAUCGGAUGUGCCCAGAUGGGAUUAGCUAGUAGGUGGAGUAACGGCUCACCUAGGCGACGAUCCCUAGCUGGUCUGAGAGGAUGACCAGCCACACUGGAACUGAGACACGGUCCAG
rnacentral:rRNA from 1 species